UUGGAGGGCAAGUCUGGUGCCAGCACCCGCGGUAAUUCCGGCUCUAGUAGCGUAUAUUAAAGUUGUUGCAGUUAAAAAGCUCGUAGUCUGACUUCGGGCUGGGCUGUGAAGGCUCACCGCAAGGUGGGACGGAUAGCCUGGCCUUACCCUCUGAUGUGCUCUCUGCUCUUAACUGAGUGGAUCUGUCGCACAGAGGCGUUUACCUUGAGCAAAUUGAGGUGUUCAAGGCAGGCAUAAUCGCUCGUACACAUUAGCAUGGGAUAAUGAAAUAGGGCCUUGGGUUCGCUGUUGCCGGUUGGUGAGCCCGGGCAAUGAUCAACAGGGGCGGUCGGGGUGCUUCAUAUGCAGGCGCUAGAGGUGAAAUUCUUGGACCGUCUGCAGAUGCCCAGAUGCGAAAGCGUUGCACCAGUACGUCCCCAUUGAUCAAGAACGAAAGUUAAGGGAGCGAAGACGAUCAGAUACCGUCGUAGUCUUAACCCUAAACGAUACCGACCAGGGAUCGAGGAUAGUCCCAUGGUUGACUCCUUCGGCGCCUUACGGGAAAC
rnacentral:rRNA from 1 species